GCUAGAUGCCAGGUGGGGGCAGGAGGACGGCGGGACUGAAGGCGAGGCCGGAGGAAGUGCGGGCCACGCUUCCCUUUGCCACACGGAUCCCACGGCAUGGCCCGAGCUCCCUCUUCUCUCCUGCUGGCCGCGUUUCCCGUUGUGGAGGUGGUGGUGGUCUGAAGGGGGGCUCGGCAGG